ensembl:lncRNA
CCCCCCCCUAUUUACCCCCAUCCUCCACGCACACAUACACGCACACAUACACAUACACAUACACAUACACAUACACAUACACACACACACGCACACGCACACAAGGUAAUAGGACUAAUGACAGACUGUUGGGACGAGCGUUGGUUGCUGAUGCAGCAGUGAGUGUCUAACACGUUUCUCCACACAGGUAUACACCAGGUAUAGAUAGAUACAGUCACAUAGACACCAGGUAUAGAUAGAUACAGUCACAUAGACAGCAGGUAUAGAUAGAUACAGUCACAGAGACACCAGGUAGAGAUACAGUCACAUAGACACCAGGUAUAGAUAGAUACAGUCACAUAGACACCAGGUAUAGAUAGAUACAGUCACAUAGACAGCAGGUAUAGAUAGAUACAGUCACAGAGGCACCAGGUAUAGAUAGAUACAGUCACAGAGACACCAGGUAUAGAUAGAUACAGUCACAUAGACACCAGGUAUAGAUAGAUACAGUCACAUAGACACCAGGUAUAGAUAGAUACAGUCACAGAGACACCAGGUAUAGAUAGAUACAGUCACAUAGACACCAGGUAGAGAUACAGUCACAGAGACAGCAGGUAUAGAUAGAUACAGUCACAGAGACACCAGGUAGAGAUAGAUACAGUCACAUAGACACCAGGUAUAGAUAGAUACAGUCACAUAGACACCAGGUAGAGAUAGAUACAGUCACAUAGACACUAGGUAGAGAUAGAUACAGUCACAUAGACACCAGGUAGAGAUAGAUACAGUCACAUAGACACCAGGUAUAGAUAGAUAUAGACACCAGGUAUAGAUAGAUACAGUCACAGAGACACCAGGUAUAGAUAGAUACAGUCACAUAGACACCAGGUAGAGAUAGAUACAGUCACAUAGACACCAGGUAGAGAUAGAUACAGUCACAUAGAGACCAGGUAUAGAUAGAUACAGUCACAUAGACACAAGGUAUAGAUAGAUACAGUCACAUAGACAGCAGGUAUAGAUAGAUACAGUCACAGAGACACCAGGUAUAGAUAGAUACAGUCACAUAGACACCCGGUAGAGAUAGAUGCAGUCUCAUAGACACCAGGUAGAGAUACAGUCACAUAGACACCAGGUAGAGAUAGAUACAGUCACAUAGACACCAGGUAGAGAUAGAUACAGUCACAUAGACACCAGGCAUAGAUAGAUACAGUCACAUAGACACCAGGUAUAGAUAGAUACAGUCACAUAGACACCAGGUAUAGAUAGAUACAGUCACAUAGACACCAGGUAUAGAUAGAUACAGUCACAUAGACACCAGGUAGAGAUAGAUGCAGUCUCAUAGACACCAGGUAGAGAUACAGUCAC